GCCGGAGUAGCUCAGCUGGUCAGAGCAACGGUUUUGUAAACCGUAGGCCGUCGGUUCGAAUCCGACCUCCGGCU
rnacentral:tRNA from 1 species